GACGAACGCUGGCGGCGUGCUUAACACAUGCAAGUCGCGCGGAGCGGCGAACGGGUGAGUAAAGCGUGAAUAACUGCCCCCCUCUCUGGGAUAACAGUUGGAAACGGCUGCUAAUACCGGAUAGUGGGGGAUGACUCGCGUCCUAUCCGCUGGUUGGUGGGGUAGUGGCCUACCAAGGCGACGACGGGUAGCCGGCCUUAGAGGGGGACCGGCCACAUUGGGCUGAGAUACGGCCAAAACGCCUACGGGAGGCAGCAGUGGGGAAUAUUGCCCAAUGGGGGAAAGCCUGAUGCGGCAACGCGCGGGCGGGAUGACGGCGUGCGGGUUGUAAACCGCUUGCAGCCAUGACGCGGUAGUGGCAGAAGAAGCACCGGCUAACUACGUGCCAGCAGCCGCGGUAAUAC
rnacentral:rRNA from 1 species